GGACAUACUUGGCACAGAAGAUACCGCGAUCAUCAACGCGGUUUCUCCAAGACGAUGCUCUGCAAUUGCACUUCAGUUGGGCUGAUCCUUCCGAUUACUCCCAAUGUGGGUAACUCGGGUGCAUAAUUUCUGUUAGUCGGGACUGCGUUCCCACAGACCCGGU